UACGGGGGAUGCGAGCGUUAUCCGGAUUUAUUGGGUUUAAAGGGUGCGUAGGCGGACUGUCAAGUCAGCGGUAAAAUUGAGAGGCUCAACCUCUUCCCGCCGUUGAAACUGGUGGUCUUGAGUGGAUGAGAAGUACGCGGAAUGCGUGGUGUAGCGGUGAAAUGCAUAGAUAUCACGCAGAACUCCGAUUGCGAAGGCAGCGUACCGGCAUCCAACUGACGCUGAGGCACGAAAGCGUGGGGAUCAAACAGG
rnacentral:rRNA from 1 species